UUUUAAACGAAGAGAGAUAAAUUAAUUAUAUAUAGUAGAUCAAAGAUUGUUACAAUUAUUAUGCUAUAAGAUGACAUCAACUUCAUAUUCCUUAUUGACCAAAGCCCAAUUCAGACAUUCUCCUGUCUCUCCAUUUAACCGAAUUCAGAGAACACAGAUAUAUAUUAAGAGCUUAAGACAUAUACAUACUGCCACUGGCAAAGAAAACAUAAGAAAUUAUAGGCGGAAGGAACCCACAACCAGAAUCAAGCAUUCACGAUGUAACCACCAUUAGGAUGUAAGACUUGGCCAGUGAUGUAGGAGGAACACUCAUUGGAAGCCAAGAAGACAUAAGAAGGUGCAAUCUCAUAAGGCUGUGCUGCCCUGUCCAUUGGUACCUCACUUCCUAAGGCUGCAAUCUUCUCAGCAGGCAAAGACGCCGGUUGCAGUGGCGUCCAGACAGGACCUGGCGCCACAGCAUUGACACGAAUUCCUUUGUCAAUAAGCUGCAGGGACAGACUCCUAGUGAAAGCUACAAUGGCUCCUUUAGUAGAGCUAUAGUCCAGCAACCCUGAAUAGCCAGCAUAGGCUACGACAGAUGUGGUGUUGAUGAUACAGCUCCCUUGUUUCAUGUGCUGUAAAGCAUACCUGCACCCAUUUGAGAUUGAAAAGGAUUAAUAAAUCCUGCUUGACCAGAAAUAAAUGAUUAUAUUUCAAUUUUCUUCAUUUACCUGGUCAUGAAGAACUGACCAAAAAUGUUGGUUCUAAACACCCUCUCAAGCCUUGUUUCAGUGAUAUCUUCAAUGGUGGUAGAAUAAUAUUGUUCAGCGGCAUUAUUCACCAGAAUAUCAAUGUGUCCGUAUUCAGCCAUAACUUGAUCAACAACACUCCUGCAAUUUUCUUCGAAUCCAACAUCAGUUGGUAUGGCAAUGGGGUCUUUUGCUCCUUCUGCCUUUGAUUCGCUUAAUAUCUUUAGCGUGUGAUCCGUGUCCAUAUCCUCUUGGCCUUUCACAUAUGUAAAGGCCACAGUUGCACCCUCUAAAGUAAAAUAGUAGGAUACAGCUCUUCCAAUACCAGAGUCGCCCCCUGUCACCAGAGCUACUUUUCCAAGGAGCUUGUUAGAGGGCUUGUAUUGAGGGUUUAAGAAUUCGGGAAGUGGGUGCAUAAGAUAUUCUUUCCCAGGCUGCCUGUCCUGAGUCUGCGGUGGAAAACGGAACCCACUUUGUGUGGCCAUUGAUCCUGCUGAGACUCAAACUCUGAAUUCUAGCCAGG
rnacentral:misc_RNA from 1 species